GCUCUGUCCCUCCGUCGGGGAAGCAUGGGGCUUACUAGGCUGAUCUGCGCCUUCUUGCUCGCAGCCUGCUGCUGCUGUCGCCGCGUCACGGGUGUGCCAGGAGAGGACAAACAGCCUACACCCACACCAGACGUGGUGGAGGUGGAAGUGGGCCACACAGCCUACCUGAAUUGUGGCCCCCCACGGCAUUCCUCAGUCAACUUAACCCACGUGGACUGGUUUUUGAUUCACAAGGAGAGGCAGAUACCCAUUUUCCGUGUGCGCCAGGGCCGGGGCCAGAAUGAACCUGGGGAAUACGAGCACCGCCUUAGCCUCAAGGAUUCGGGAGAUGCUCUGGCCCUGAGUCAAGUCACUCCCCAUGAUGAGCGUGUGUUCCUCUGCAAGAGCAAGCGGCCACGGCUCCAGGACCACUACACUGAGCUUCAAGUCUACAAAGCUCCGGAAGAGCCAACCAUCCAGGCCAAUGCCAUGGGCAUCCACGUGGACAGACAGGAGCUUAGGGAGGUUGCUACCUGUGUGGGGAGGAAUGGGUAUCCCAUUCCUCAAGUCAUCUGGUACAAGAAUGGUCGGCCCCUGCAAGAGGAGGAGAACCGUGUUCAGAUUCAGUCGUCACAGAUUGUGGAGUCCAGUGGCUUGUACACCUUGCAGAGUGUUCUGAAGGCUCAGCUAGUUAAGGAGGACAAAGAUGCCCAGUUUUACUGUGAACUCAACUACCGGUUGCCCAGUGGGAACCACAUGAAGGAAUCUCGGGAGGUCACUGUUCCUGUUUUCUACCCUGCAGAAAAAGUGUGGGUGGAAGUAGAGCCUAUGGGACUGCUGAAGGAAGGGGAUCAUGUGAAAAUCAGGUGUCUGACGGACGGCAACCCUCAGCCCGACUUCACUAUCAACAAGCAGAACCCCAACACUGGGGAGACGGAGGAGGAAACCACCGAUGAAAACGGUAUCCUGAUCUUGGAACCUGCACAGAGGCAACACAGUGGGCUCUACCAGUGUCACAGCCUGGACUUGGAAACUAUGAUCACCCUGUCAAGUGACCCCCAGGAGCUGCUCGUGAACUAUGUGUCUGAUGUUCGAGUGAAUCCACCUGCCCCUGAAGCCCAGGAAGGCGACAGCCUCACACUGACCUGUGAGGCAGGGAGUAACCAGGACCUUGAGUUCGAGUGGCUGAGAGACAAGACAGGCCAGCUGCUGGGCAAGGGGCCUGACCUCCAGCUAAACAACGUGAAACGGGAAGCAGGGGGACAGUAUCUCUGCAUGGCAUCUGUUCCUAGUGUUCCUGGCUUGAAUCGCACACAGCUGGUCAGCGUGGGCAUUUUUGGGUCCCCGUGGAUGGCGUUAAAGGAGAGGAAGGUGUGGGUGCAGGAGAAUGCAGUGCUGAACCUGUCUUGUGAGGCUUCAGGACAUCCUCGGCCCACCAUCUCCUGGAAUGUCAACGGCUCGGCAACUGAAUGGAACCCAGAUCCACAGACAACUGUGAGCACCCUCAAUGUCCUUGUGACCCCAGAGCUGCUGGAGACAGGUGCAGAAUGUACAGCCUCCAACUCCCUGGGCUCAAAUACCACCGCCAUCGUCCUGAAUCUGGUCACUUUAACCACCCUCACACCCGACCUCCGCCAGACCACUGGCCUCGGCACCUCCACAGUCGGUCCUCACACCAGAGCCAACAGCACCUCCACAGAGAAAAAGCUGCCACAGCCAGAGAGCAAAGGUGUGGUCAUUGUGGCUGUGAUCGUGUGUAUCUUGGUCCUUGCUGUACUGGGUGCUACCCUCUAUUUCUUCUACAAGAAGGGCAAACUGCCGUGUGGACGCUCAGGAAAACAAGAGAUUUGCCAACCUCUCACCUCCCUCCUCCCAGCACGCUGCCCCCGACUCGUAAGAGUGAAUUUGUAGUUGAAGUUAAGUCAGAUAAGCUCCCAGAAGAGAUGGCUCUCCUACAGGGCAGCGCCGGUGACAAGAGGGCUCCAGGAGAACAGGGAGAGAAAUACAUCGAUCUGAGGCAUUAGCUGACUCACCAAUGUUUCCGGCUCAGUCUUCACCCCAAGCUAAAGGGACAGCAGGGACGACUCCCACUCAGGUUCAGAGACCAGGUCCAGAGGGCCAAGAAUUGGGACAAGCGCCAUUUGGAGGAUCUCAUUUGGCCAUGGAGGCCUUGCUAUAGAGACCAAGUCCUCCUUUGUGUCCACUGAGUAAUGCUUAUCCCAAGUGACUGGGAGCCUCAGUCUCCCAGGAAUGGGGUUUUGUGUGUGUCCCCCACCCCUCCUGCUUUUCCCAAAUGGAUUUUUUCUGUGCACAGCCAAAGGUCGCAUAUCCACCUUCUGCCAUCAGCUGUGUGGGCCUGUCCCUCUGAGCAGGUGUUCUCCCCUCACAGGCUGUAUCACAUGAUAUGGAACCUGGACACGUGGUCACAUACACUGUUCACACUGCUCCUCAAGAGAGGCCCACAGUCCAGAGGCAGCUGCAGCACUGCUUCUCUGCCUGCCUGCCUGCUGCUCUUUCAGGGUCUUUUGGGGUCUUUUCCCUUUGGGCAGAAGACAGGGAUUGGUGGUAAUCCUUCAGUGCGUGAGGAAGGAAGCUCGGCACUGUUGUUUGUUUUGGAGUGAAAGCUGUUUACUGAGCCUGAGCUUCCUGCUCCCUCAGUGGAUAAUGGGAGACUGAAAGAGAAGCCAUGGGACAGAGAGGAGGUCUACUGGGAUGGGGAUUAAGCUCAUAGGUAGAUUAGUACCAAAUUUCUACGUGUGAGUUUAUGGGCCCAGAUCCCAGGAGAGUCUGUGGGACAAUGGUACUUAAGAGAUGAAAACCUGGCCUGGGCAAGAGCUAUUGGAGUAUGUGUGCAUCUAUGAGUGUGUGUGUACAUACAUAAAUAUAUAUAUAUAUAUAUGGUUUUGUCUGUAAAUUUGCAAAUUGUUUCCUUUUAUAUAUUAUGUGUUAGAAAAAUAAAGUGUUAUUGUCCCAAAA